AGAAAAUGUCUAUCUUGACUGAACAUGCUUCACUGAACACUGGCGAGUGUUUGCUUGACUGAACACUGAAGUUACAAGAAAAGGAAGCCAGGAUGGCAGCCCACAAAUUGGGUUCCAGACUUUGUCUUCUCAUUCUUCUUUUAUUCUCAUCAUUAUUAUCACUAGGAGUAUAAAAAGGAAAUAUUGCUAUGAAAACAGCAUGAGUUUUUCAUCCUGUCUUUUAACUGAUACUAUCUUCAAUCAAAC
rnacentral:lncRNA from 1 species